rnacentral:rRNA from 1 species
UACAGAGGGUGCGAGCGUUGUUCGGAUUUACUGGGCGUAAAGGGCGCGUAGGCGGCCACCGCAAGUCGGUUGUGAAAUCUCCGGGCUUAACCCGGAAAGGUCAAUCGAUACUGCGGGGCUAGAGUGCAGAAGGGGCAACUGGAAUUCUCGGUGUAGCGGUGAAAUGCGUAGAUAUCGAGAGGAACACCUGCGGCGAAGGCGGGUUGCUGGGCUGACACUGACGCUGAAGCGCGAAAGCUAGGGGAGCGAACGGG